UACGUAGGUGGCAAGCGUUGUCCGGAAUUAUUGGGCGUAAAGCGCGCGCAGGCGGUCCUUUAAGUCUGAUGUGAAAGCCCACGGCUCAACCGUGGAGGGUCAUUGGAAACUGGGGGACUUGAGUGCAGGAGAGAAGAGUGGAAUUCCACGUGUAGCGGUGAAAUGCGUAGAAGAUGUGGAGGAACACCAGUGGCGAAGGCGACCUCUUUGGCCUGUAACUGACGCUGAGGCGCGAAAGCGUGGGGAGCGAACAGG
rnacentral:rRNA from 1 species